rnacentral:lncRNA from 1 species
GGGGUAAUAGCCGGUAAAUCCAUGAGAAAUUUUCAUUUUCUGGUUUAUAUCAUGACCCCUAAUUUUGGCGGCUAAAUACACCAAUUUUUAAUUGGUUCUGAUUUUUCCCACGGCGAAGGACUCCGGCGAAAUCAAAACUGACGUGGCAAGUACUUAGACAAAACGACGUCGUUUCAUUAUUAAUUAAAAUUAGUUUAUAUUUAAUUAAGAAUAAAAUUAUUAAUUAUAUCCCCUAAUCUAGCCACGUCACCCCCUCCCCUUCCCCCACCCCCUGCGCAAACCCUCCUCCUUCUCCAUCCCGGCGCCACCACCGUUUUUCGACCGUCUCCGUCGCCGACUAGACCAACGCCCUUCCUCCGGCGACUGGUCCAUGCCGCCAAGCACAGCGCUGCCCCCUCCUCUCUCUUUCCCGGCCACCCCUCUCCCUACGAAAUCCCGCCGCUGCAACCUGAAGAAUGGCAAACGGCCGCUGCUUCAGCCCAUCUCACCUCCUCGUCUCUGCACCUCACUCUCCCACAAUCGAGGCAAAAGGGUGAGCCCUAAUUUCCCCCCAUCAGUUCGACGGGAAAUGCCGCUCUUCCGGAGAAUUCGACGCCCUGCACCAGAGCUUAUCUCUCUCUGAAUUCUUGUUCACAACAGGGGUCGACCCCCCUCCCAUUCUGGUUCGACGUCGCCGUUUGAGAGAAUUGUGAAUUUGGUGUUGUGGAAUGAAUUUGGAGGUUGUGGAGGGCGGCGUAGGGGGGGAGAGAGGCGGAGACGGAGGUGCAGAGGAGAUAAGCGAGAGAGAGAAGCAGAGGCGGAAGCUCAAGCUCGAUCUGUUUGAGGCGGAGGAGAUGAGCGAGAGAGAGCAGAGGCGGAGGCUCUGGGCCGGCGAAGCUACCGGCCGGAGCUGUGGUGGCGGUCAAGGGGGAGGGCGGCGGAGCCGAGAGAUGAGAGAGAGUUGUGAAGCUGUGAGAGAGUGGUGACGUGUAAGAGAGAGAGAAAGUGGGGUGUGUGAGAGAGAGAGUGGGGAGUGUGUGUGUGUGUGACGUGGUUAUUCCGGCUGCCACGUUGGCAUUCCGGCGUCCACGUCAGUUUCGAUUUCGCCGGAUUCCUAAAUCGAGGGAAAAAUCAGAACCAAUUAAAAAUUGGUGUAUUUAGCCAUCAAAAUUAGGGGUCAUGAUAUAAACCAGAAAAUGAAAAUUUCUCAUGAAUUUAGCGGCUAUUACCCCU